rnacentral:rRNA from 1 species
AUUGAACGCUGGCGGCAUGCCUAACACAUGCAAGUCGAACGGUUGCGUGGGCCUUGGUCCUGGCGCGAGCGGCGAACGGGUGGGUACUGCAUCGGAACGUGCCCGGUAGUGGGGGAUCGCUCGGCGAAAGAGGGCAUAAUACCGCAUACGCCCUGAGCGCGAAAGAGGGGGAUCUUCAGGCCUUGCGCUAUAGGAGCGGCCGAGGUCGGAUUAGCUAGUUGGUGGGGUAAAGGCUUACCAAGGCGACGAUCCGUAGCUGGUCUGAGAGGACGAUCAGCCACACUGGGACUGAGACACGGCCCAGACUCCUACGGGAGGCAGCAGUGGGGAAUUUUGGACAAUGGGCGAAAGCCUGAUCCAGCCAUGCCGCGUGAGUGAAGAAGGUCUUCGGAUUGUAAACCUCUGUUGUUCGGGAAGAAAACCACUGAGAUAAUACCCCGGUGGUAUGACGGUACCAAAAGAAAAAGCACCGGCUAACUACGUG